rnacentral:rRNA from 1 species
UACAGAGGGUGCAGGCGUUGUUCGGAAUUAUUGGGCGUAAAGCGCGUGUAGGCGGCUUUGCAAGUCGGGUGUGAAAGCCCUCAGCUCAACUGAGGAAGUGCGCCCGAAACUGCAGAGCUUGAGUACCGGAGAGGAUGGCGGAAUUCCCCAAGUAGAGGUGAAAUUCGUAGAUAUGGGGAGGAACACCGGUGGCGAAGGCGGCGACCUGGGACAAUACUGACGCUGAGGUGCGAAAGCGUGGGGAGCAAACAGG